rnacentral:lncRNA from 7 species
UUUUCUCUUUGAAAUCUCUGUUUUAAACCUGAAAAUCAUGCAUAUUCUCUACAAAACUUGCUGUUUAAACCAAAAAUUGCGCGUUUUCUCUUCAACAAUCCCCCGUUUAACCCCAAAACCUCACCUUUUCUCUUGGAAAAUACGCAUUUACCCCAAAUCAUGCAUUUUCUCUCCAAAAAUACCCCAUUAACCCCAAAACACACAUUUUCUCCUCAGAAAUCCCCCUUUUAACCCCCAAAUCACACAUUUUCUCUUGGAAAAUCCCACAUUUACCCCAAAAUCAUGCUUUAUCUCUUCAAAAAUACCCCAUUAUCCCCCAAAUCACACAUUUUCUCUAGGAAAAUCCCCCAUUUAACUCGGAAAUCACACUUUUGCCUUCAAAUAUCCCCCAUUUGACCCCCAAAAUCAAACAUUUUUGCUACAAGAAUCCCCCAUGUAUCCAAAAAAUCACGCGUUUCCUCUACAAAAAUCUCACAUGUAAACGAAACUCAUGCAUUUCCUCUUCAAAAUCCCCCAUUUAACCAGUAGAAAAUGCAAUUUCUCUUCGAGAAUCCCCCAUUGAACCCGAAAAUGAUGCAUUUUCUCUUCAAGAAUCCCUGAUUCAUCCCGAAUAUCACACAUUUUCUCUUCAAAAAUCUCCCAUGUAACCUGAAAAUCACGCAUUAUCUCUACGAAAAUCACACAUUUAAUGCAAACAUCAGGCAUUUUCUCUUAGAAUCCGCGAUUUAACUGAAAAUCACACAUUUUCUCUUGAAAAAUCCCCUAUUUAACCCAAAAUCACGCCUUUUCUUUGCAAAUAUCCCCCACUUAACA